ACGGAGGGUGCAAGCGUUAAUCGGAAUUACUGGGCGUAAAGCGCACGCAGGCGGUUUGUUAAGUCAGAUGUGAAAUCCCCGGGCUCAACCUGGGAACUGCAUCUGAUACUGGCAAGCUUGAGUCUCGUAGAGGGGGGUAGAAUUCCAGGUGGAGCGGUGAAAGGAGUAGAUAUCUGGAGGAAUUCCGGUGGCGAAGGCGGCCAUCUGGACGAAUACUGACGCUCAGGUGCGAGAGCGUGGGUAGCAUACAG
rnacentral:rRNA from 1 species